UAAAGGGUUGUCGUUGAAAAAUUUGUUUAUCCAUUUACAUGUUUAUUUUAUUAUUUGUUGAUUGAUUAUUUGAUUAUUUGUUUGUUAUAUUGAGUUUUCUGUGUAUUUGUGAAUGAUAUAUAGUUAAGUACUUUAUCAGGAAUAUCAUGGUUACUUCAUUACGUGCAUACAUCAAGAUUCGAUGAAUACAUAUUACAUAACAUGAUAUGCAUAUCACAGUAUUAAAAUUUGAGUUGUUUCUUUGACGUACAUAAUUACUGUUUAUUGUAAAUGAAACAUUGCUUUGGAGUCAUGGAGACUGAAUUUUAUAUUGGUGUUUUGUUUUAAAACAUUAUCAUGUCAUAAUUUUGGGUUUUACAAAACAAUAAAUCAAAUUUCAGG
rnacentral:misc_RNA from 1 species